GGGUCUCACGAGAUUUAACUUUAAGUAGUUAACAUGCCAUGUGGACAUUGACUAGAAUAGUAAAUAAUGACAUCUUUACUAUUUAGCUUGUGGACAUCAUACUAGUGAUACUUUGGUACAUUCAUGCUAGUGUAGCCUUUUAUUACUUGAGCAAAAUCAUGCUAAGUAGAGAUAUCUUGUGGUAGCAAGUACUCUUGUUUAUUUACUCGUUGUACU
rnacentral:lncRNA from 1 species